rnacentral:lncRNA from 1 species
GAAACAUAAAAAUCUCCCGUGUGCAUUUAUCAACUAAUGAGACAAUAUUUUUCAGCUAAUUCUUUCUGCAGUGCUGGAAUGGAGAGGUGGGGUCGUGUGGCCUUUCUCACUAUGCUGGGUACAGGGCCUGAGUUCUUCAGCGCCUCCACCUAGUCACACACACACAAGGGAGGAGUCCAUUUGUAAAGAAACAGAUGAUAUAAACGACAACGUUUCCGAAGACAAAUGAUACAAGAUCUGCAGUAGAGUUUGCUCCUGGGAGAAAGGAUCAUUCUUCCUAAGUGAAAAGCACGAGGACGGGGAGGAAGUAAAUGAUGUGGCAAAGAGAGAGUUAACAAGAGCAGGUCUAGGAGCA